GCGCUGCCGUUAUCUUCAAGACCCUCCCACCUUACCGAGCUCCAGGACCGGAGAUGAGGAGCUGAGCACAACAUGCCAACACUCGAGGGGCCCACGACAGUUGCUCAAGAGCCAUUUCGGGAAUAGGCUGCUAGGCCCUGGAGACAGUGAGGACUUGAACUGCAGCACUCCUGUCAGACCCCUGGAUGUGGUUCCCCCCGCGUCCCACAGCUAAUGACUAAGCUGGGAACCAAAAGAUGGAAUCUAGAUUCUCCUAAGCCAAGGUUUUUCCCCCAACUAGUGUAUAUCCCAGAAAGCUUGGAAGAGCCAAGUACUGGAGAGAUGGUGACAGCAGGUUGUCAGGUGAUCAGAGGAAGUUUAGGUAGAGGGGAAGGGUGCCCAGGCUUUGACCUAACAUUGUCUCUGUUAUUUCUGUACAGGUAGUUUGAGCUCCCUAAAAGAGGAAGGUGGACUCUACAGGGACAAACAGUUGGAUGCUGCAAUAGCAUGGCAGGGGAAACUCACCACACACAAAGAGGAACUCUAUCCCAAGAACCCUUAUCUCCAAGACUUUCUGAGUGCAGAGGGAGUGCUGAGUAGUGAUGGUGUUUGGAGGGUCAAAUCCAUUCCCAAUGGCAAAGGUUCCUCACCACUCACCACCGCUACAACUCCAAAACCACUUAUCCCUACAGAGGCCAGCAUCAGGGUCUGGUCAGACUUCCUCAGAGUCCAUCUCCAUCCCCGGAGCAUCUGUAUGAUUCAGAAGUACAACCACGAUGGGGAAGCAGGUCGGCUGGAGGCUUUUGGCCAAGGGGAAAGUGUCCUAAAGGAACCCAAGUACCAGGAAGAGCUGGAGGACAGGCUGCACUUCUACGUGGAGGAAUGUGACUACUUGCAGGGCUUCCAGAUCCUGUGUGACCUGCACGAUGGCUUCUCUGGGGUAGGCGCGAAGGCGGCAGAGCUGCUACAAGAUGAAUAUUCAGGGCGGGGAAUAAUAACUUGGGGCCUGCUACCUGGUCCCUACCAUCGUGGGGAGGCCCAGAGAAACAUCUAUCGUCUAUUAAACACAGCUUUUGGUCUCGUGCACCUGACUGCUCACAGCUCUCUUGUCUGCCCCUUGUCCUUGGGUGGGAGCCUGGGCCUGCGACCCGAGCCACCUGUCAACUUCCCUUACCUGCAUUAUGAUGCCACUCUGCCCUUCCACUGCAGUGCCAUCCUGGCUACAGCCCUGGACACAGUCACUGUUCCUUAUCGCCUGUGUUCCUCUCCAGUUUCCAUGGUUCAUCUGGCUGACAUGCUGAGCUUCUGUGGGAAAAAGGUAUGAAGCUUUGUGAGGGGUUGGGUCAGUGCUGAGAAAAUGUCCUAUAACGUGUUCUCUUCCAUCUGUUUAGGUGGUGACAGCAGGAGCAAUCAUCCCUUUCCCCUUGGCUCCAGGCCAGUCCCUUCCUGAUUCCCUGAUGCAGUUUGGAGGAGCCACCCCAUGGACCCCACUGUCUGCAUGUGGGGAGCCUUCUGGAACACGUUGCUUUGCCCAGUCAGUGGUGCUGAGGGGUAUAGACAGAGCAUGCCACACAAGUCAGCUCACCCCAGGGACACCUCCACCCUCUGCCCUUCAUGCAUGUACCACUGGGGAAGAAAUCUUGGCUCAGUAUUUACAACAGCAGCAGCCUGGAGUCAUGAGUUCUUCCCAUCUGCUGCUGACUCCCUGCAGGGUGGCUCCUCCUUACCCCCACCUCUUCUCAAGCUGCAGUCCACCGGGUAUGGUUCUGGAUGGUUCCCCCAAGGGAGCAGUGGAGAGCAUCCCAGUGUUUGGGGCACUGUGUUCCUCUUCGUCCCUGCACCAGACCCUGGAAGCCUUGGCCAGAGACCUCACCAAACUCGACUUGCGGCGCUGGGCCAGCUUCAUGGAUGCUGGAGUGGAGCACGAUGACGUAGCAGAGCUGCUGCAGGAGCUACAAAGCCUGGCCCAGUGCUACCAGGAUGGUGACAGCCUCGUGGACUAAAGUUCCCAGUGUGGGAGAAAGGAGCUAGUUUGCAAUAAAAACAGCUGGAUGCAGGAGCCCAGUGUCUUCAUGCAGAGGAGCUCAAUGUCGCGGGACUAGCUACACCAACAUAUGCACUUUUUACAUUUAGAAACACUGUGAUUAGACCACAGAACAAUAAAUAUGUGCCAUCAGACCAAAAAAAAGUAGAGAAAGGAGCUGAACUCCACUCUCGAUGCUAUUUACAGAGGACAUCUGUAAAGUCUUCAUAAAAGACCUUGAAUGAUGCCUAGGAUGGCAGAGCCCCUGGGUCCUACUCCAUCCUCCAGCCUUUGUCCUUGUCCUGGCCUCCUGCUCUCCAGAUCUGUAAACUGGGCUCAAGGACUGUACAGGCAGAGUACAACUACCCGCCUCCCCGGUGCCAGGGCGCCUGUUGGGUUUGGUCCUGUGUAGAUGAUUCCCAGAGUCUCAUUCAUCCAGCUCCUCUUCAGACAGAAGGUCCCCAUGGUCAGACAGCUGGUCUGCAUUGCUGGUACUGGUUGCAUCAUCCUCAUCCUCAGAGCUGGCUUCACAGGCAGUGUGGAAGAGCUGCAUGAGUUCUCGAAAACGGUGGGAAACCUAAGAAAGGAGGAGGGCUGUAUUCACUGAUCCUUACUAACAUGUUAACAUUUAUGAAGCA
rnacentral:sRNA from 1 species